rnacentral:rRNA from 1 species
CCUACGGGAGGCAGCAGUGGGGGAUAUUGCACAAUGGGGGGAACCCUGAUGCAGCGACGCCGCGUGGGUGAAGGAGUAUUUCGGUAUGUAAAGCCCUAUCGGCAGGGAAGAAAUUGGACGGUACCUGACUAAGAAACCCCGGCUAACUACGUGCCAGCAGCCGCGGUAAUACGUAGGGGGCAAGCGUUAUCCGGAUUCACUGGGUGUAAAGGGAGCGUAGACGGCCAUGCAAGCCAGGGGUGAAAGCCCGGGGCCCAACCCCGGGACUGCCCUUGGAACUGCAUGGCUGGAGUGCGGGAGGGGCAGGCGGAAUUCCUGGUGUAGCGGUGAAAUGCGUAGAUAUCAGGAGGAACACCGGCGGCGAAGGCGGCCUGCUGGACCGCGACUGACGCUGAUGCUCGAAAGCGCGGGUAUCGAACAGGAUUAGAUACCCGAGUAGUC